CCUUUGCUUACCUCGGGAUGAAGUAAAAAUAGUUUUUUUUCUGAGAAUAGGCCCUUCCAAGGUUAAGGAUGCCAUCUUGAAUAUAUUGUUUUCACCAUUGUGUUUGUACCACCUCCCCUAUAGGGAAUUCCAUUGUGUUUGCACCCCUUGUACUAUUGUUUCAUUAUGGCAUUGUCAACCUUGGAAGGGUCUAUUGCUUUCAGUUAUGAAGGCUUAACACCAUAUACUGAG